AGCGAACGCUGGCGGCAGGCCUAAUACAUGCAAGUCGAACGGCUCUUCGGAGCAGUGGCGGACGGGUGAGUAACACGUGGGAACGUGCCCUUUGGUACGGAACAACUGAGGGAAACUUCAGCUAAUACCGUAUGUGCCCCCAUUGUUAGCGGUAUGGGUGGGAAAGGUUUAUCGGCAUUGGAGCGGCCCGCGUUGGAUUAGCUAGUUGGUGGGGUAAAGGCUCAACAAGGCUACGAUCCAUAGCUGGUCUGGGAGGAUGAUCAGCCACACUGGGACUGAGACACGGCCCAGACUCCUACGGGAGGCAGCAGUAGGGAAUCUUGCGCAAUGGGCGAAAGCCUGACGCAGCCAUGCCGCGUGAAUGAUGAAGGUCUUAGGAUUGUAAAAUUCUUUCACCGGGGAAGAUAAUGACGGUACCCGGAGAAGAAGCCCCGGCUAACUUCGUGCCAGCCGCCGCCGUAA
rnacentral:rRNA from 1 species